rnacentral:rRNA from 1 species
AUUGAACGCUGGCGGCAGGCCUAACACAUGCAAGUCGAACGAGUGGCGGACGGGUGAGGAAUGUCUGGGAAACUGCCGGAUGGAGGGGGAUAACUACUGGAAAAGGUAGCUAAUACCGCAUACCAUCGGAUGUGCCCAGCGGGGAUUAGCUAGUAGGUGGGGUAAAGGCUCACCUAGGCGAAGAUCCCUAGAUGGUCUGAGAGGAUGACCCGCCACACUGGAACUGAGACACGGUCCAGACUCCUACGGGAGGCAGCAGUGGGGAAUAUUGCACAAUGGGCGCAAGCCUGAUGCAGCCAUGCCGCGUGUAUGAAGAAGGCCUUCGGGUUGUAAAGUACUUUCAGCGGGGAGGCGUUACCCGCAGAAGAAGCACCGGCUAACUCCGUGCCAGCAGCCGCGGUAAUUC